GUUGGAGGCCAAUCAGGUGGUGUUACCACAAAUCCCCCAGGAUCGAAAGAUAGCAAGGGUAGUGAGUAUUUUCCAGGUUGGUUGGUCUCCUUAAAA
rnacentral:SRP_RNA from 4 species